rnacentral:rRNA from 1 species
GAGUUUGAUCUUGGCUCAGAACGAACGCUGGCGGCGUGCCUAACACAUGCAAGUCGUACGCGAAAAGCAGUAAUGCUGAGUAGAGUGGCGCACGGGUGAGUAACACGUAAAUGACCUGUCCAUAGCACUGGGAUAACCGUUCGAAAGGAUGGCUAAUACUGGAUAAGCCCACGACCUUGGGGUUGAGGGAAAAUGAUUGGGACCUUUCGAGGCCAAUCGGCAAUGGAGGGAUUUGCGGCCCAUCAGGUAGUUGGCGGGGUAACGGCCCACCAAGCCUAAGACGGGUAGCUGGUCUGAGAGGAUGAUCAGCCACACUGGAACUGAGACACGGUCCAGACUCCUACGGGAGGCAGCAGUGGGGAAUCUUGCGCGAAAUGGACGAAAGUCUGACGCAGCAACGCCGCGUGGGUGAUGAAGGUCUUCGGAUCGUAAAGCCCUGUCGGAGGGGAAGAUGUGUCUCUAGUCGAACAGGCUAGGGAUGUGACGGUACCCUCAAAGGAAGC